UGGGGAAUAUUGGACAAUGGGGGGAACCCUGAUCCAGCCAUGCCGCGUGUGUGAAGAAGGCCUUAUGGUUGUAAAGCACUUUAAGCGAGGAGGAGGGUACUGGUAUUAAUACUACCAGCUACUGGACGUUACUCGCAGAAUAAGAACCGGCUAACUCUGUGCCAGCAGCCGCGGUAAUACAGAGGGUGCGAGCGUUAAUCGGAUUUACUGGGCGUAAAGCGUGCGUAGGCGGCUAAUUGAGUCGGAUGUGAAAUCCCCGAGCUUAACUUGGGAAUUGCAUUCGAUACUGGUUAGCUAGAGUGUGGGAGAGGAUGGUAGAAUUCCAGGUGUAGCGGUGAAAUGCGUAGAGAUCUGGAGGAAUACCGAUGGCGAAGGCAGCCAUCUGGCCUAACACUGACGCUGAGGUACGAAAGCAUGGGGAGCAAACAGG
rnacentral:rRNA from 1 species